rnacentral:rRNA from 1 species
AAUACAUCAUGCCCCUUAUGACCUGGGCUACACACGUGCUACAAUGGGCGGUACAAAGGGCUGCGAACCCGCGAGGGGGAGCGAAUCCCAAAAAAGCCGCUCUCAGUUCGGAUUGCAGGCUGCAACUCGCCUAGCAUGAAGCCGGAAUCGCUAGUAAUCGCGGAUCAGCAUGCCGCGGUGAAUACGUUCCCGGGCCUU